rnacentral:snoRNA from 1 species
UAUCCGUGGUGGGGGCAAAGGGUUUGCAGUUCUUUAAAUCUUUCCCAAGCCUGAUAUAAAGUCUCACUAUCCUUUUGUGUGAAAGAUGAAAUUUGCUUCUUAAGGGU